UCCUACGGGAGGCAGCAGUAGGGAAUCUUGCGCAAUGGGCGAAAGCCUGACCCAGCAACGCCGCGUGGGGGACGAAGCCCUUCGGGGUGUAAACUCCUUUUCUGUGGGAAGAGGAAGGACGGUACCGCAGGAAUAAGCCUCGGCUAACUACGUGCCAGCAGCCGCGGUA
rnacentral:rRNA from 1 species